CUGGAGGCGGGUCCCGGUUGCAGACUUGCCAUGGCCUCCGAAGCUUCUGUGCGUCUAGGGGUGCCUCCUGGCCGUCUGUGGAUCCAGAGGCCUGGCAUCUACGAAGAUGAGGAGGGGAGAACCUGGGUGACUGUGGUCGUGCGGUUCAAUCCCUCGCAUAGGGAAUGGGCCAGGGCCUCCCAGGGCAGCAGAUAUGAACCCAGCAUCACAGUGCACUUGUGGCAGAUGGCAGUGCACACCCGGGAGCUACUCUCCUCCGGCCAGAUGCCCUUCUCCCAGCUGCCCGCCGUGUGGCAGCUCUACCCCGGGAGGAAGUACCGAGCAGCGGAUUCCAGUUUCUGGGAAAUAGCAGACCAUGGCCAGAUUGACUCUAUGGAGCAGCUGGUCCUAACAUAUCAGCCGGAGAGGAAAGACUGACACUGGGAGUGGCUGGUAUGUUGGGGCCCUGUGCGUCUCGGUGUAGGGAUCAGACGAAAGCGAGAAGACCUCUCCUCUUUUCAGAAAGACGGUGUGGCCUCCUUCUCCUCCCUGCUGUUUGCUGAGAUUUUUCUUACAUAGCCACCUGUCACCUCUGUUCCCCAGCCCCUUGGAUGUGAUGGUCCACAGUGGGUGGGCCCCCAUAAUAAGUUCCUAAAGCAUGGGAUCUCGUCGAAUAAGACUCAUCAUUUAAUCCUUGCGAGAAUUCUGUGAGGUGUACGUGUUAAUGUCCCAUUUCACGACGAAAAGACAAGACUCUGGGGAUGGGAAUGACUUCCUCGAGACCAUACAGCCAGGAAAUAGCGGUGAAUCUAGUGAUCUCGGGUCCCUAGAUUUAACCGUGGCACUGAGGUGCCGUGUGACGGUGGCCUUGGAGGGCCCAGCACUGACCCAUAGAGGGCUCCUCUCAGAUGGGCAGCAGCUUGGAGCAGGCCAGGCAGGGCCUGGUCCAUUGGAGGGGCUGGCACUGGACUUGCCUUUGACCCCAGCAGCUUGGAUGGGGUGCCGGGCUCCCCCAUAGUUCACUGACUGUCUCUUUUGGUCUUCUCCCAGGCCCUGCCGGCCCUGCCUCUUCUGGCCUGGUGUCUCCUCAUGCCCCCUCAGUGAGGAUCUUCAUGUACCUGCUCUUCUGUUUGCACACCCAGCAUAGCCUCCUUGCGGGCGGAAGGCAGUAGGGCCCCUGCACACUCAGUUUCUCUCGUUUUCCUUAGUUAUCAGUCCUGUCCUGUACCACUCGGGUCUGCACUUAGGGCAGCUGGCCUGGAUGGGCUUCACUGGGGCCCUGUCUGUGCGCUGAGCCAGUUUCCCCUGCUGCCUGCAAGCUGUGGGUUCUUUCUCCUCUGUGCCCCUCAUGCUGAUCUUCUAGAUGCCACUCCCAAAUCCCCUUCAUACCCACCAGGAUGUGUGCCCAGCCAGGCCUCCAGCACCCCCAGUGCAGCUCAUGAUUGGAAACUCACCAUCGGCAGGCAGUGGUUUGGUUUAAGAGAUGGCAUUAGAGGGAGCCCAGUCUGGAUGUGGACUUGGAUGCCCCGUGGGUAUCAGUUCUGCUGACACUUUGGCCCAAAAUAGAUCCAGUGCUGAGCAAGCAAUGUACACCGGAGCCUCAGUGAGCCCAUCUGCACAGUGGGGAGCAUGGAGGGAUGGGUUUGGCCUGUGCUUCUGCUUGUUCAGUCCUUCAGCUCACGGAAGGGAUGCUAGUCCGUGAAGGUGACCUCACAGUACUGGUUAAUUAAACUUUAUUGCUCACUGUC
rnacentral:sRNA from 1 species